AGAACCAAUUGAGCCGUAAUGGCUCAAUCUGUAUUCUUAAUGGUGAUACCCUAUUCGUUUGUUCCAUUUGGCUCUGCUCUGUACAGGUGCAUUAAUGAGGUCUGCUGGUUAACAGACCAGUGAACAAGUCCCAGGGAAAGCAGACCGACUUGCUUAGAGAAUGAACAGGGUCGUGUAGUGGUUCAGUGGUUUCUUAGCGCCCUCUAGUGGCGCUAAGACUACAGUCAACCAAAGGCCUUUUUAAAAUGGAACAGUGAAACACCAUUAAAAUCUCAGCACACAGAAUCAAAUCAACUAACCAGAACAAUUGUGGCUAUUCACAGAAUUCAGAUUGAUUAAAUAAGAGAAGGCUGUCCAAGAAGGCUAUUACUCCUAUUCAUCUGUGACCGUUGAAGGGGGUGGGGGGGGGNNNNNNNNNNGGGUGUUAUUUUAGGAUUAUAUAAAACAAAAACAAGGGUUUGUUAUUAAAAAAAAACAUUUAAAAGCUAAAUAGCAAAAACUGGUAGAUUUAAUAUCACUAUCAUUAAAAUCACACACAAAAAAACAAACAAUCCAUCUUUUAAAAACACAGAAAUAAUAAAACACUCCAAGUAAAAACACAAAUCAGCAACAUAAAAAACCCACAGUGGAAACAUUCACUUAGUGUAGUUUUCCAUUCCCCUAUUACCCUUCAGAGAACUCAUCAGCUGACAUCGAUACACUGUAGAGAGAGAGAGAGAGAGAGAGACAGUGUUUUUAAUUGAGAAGCAGUAAUUAUCUUAUUGGAUGUAGUUAAUGAACACAACCAACACGCCAUGUUGCCUACAGCUAAACUGGUAAUUGAGUUUCUAUUUUCUGAGACGGCUGCUUCCAGUGCAGCAUCCUCCCUUACAGUUGUUGUUCUGCCACAUUUCCAGUGCAGCAUCCUCUCUCGUUACAGUUGUUGUUCUGUCCCAUUUCCAGUGCAAAAUCCUCUUAUUAGCUGUUGUUCUGUCACAUUUCCAGUGCAGCAUCCUCCCUUACAGUUGUUCUGCCACAUUUCCAGUGCAUCAUUCUCCCUCAUUACAGUUGUUGUUCUGCCACAUUUCCAGUGCAAAAUCCUCUUAUUAGCUGUUGUUCUGUCACAUUUCUAGUGCAGCAUCCUCUCUUUAAGCUUAUGAUUUAGAGUUAUUUGACUGACAGCAUCACUUCUACAGCACCACAGAGGAAGAGGCACUGACUGACUGUUAUUUACUAGCUAGCUUGCUGUUGGAUUUUCUUUACAUCAUGACGUCAAUCUGUUCAAAACAAGUGGGGUUUAAAAAAAAAAAGACAAUGCCACUUUUUGACCGGGUCUUUUUCUGCACCUGGAGAAAGGCUGAAACAACAAGAAUGACUUCCAGCUUUUAGCAUAUCCUUGUUGUAAAUUCAACAGUGAAAGAGUCAACGUAAAAAGACAGAAAACAUUGAGAAGUAUCUCUCAGGUAAGUGAGCUAAAGACAAACAUGCAUUACAUAAACGUAAACAUGAUGGACGGCUAGGAUGAACUUCUCCCAACACAAUGGUUUUACAGCUGUAAUUUGGUUUUUACCCUUGAACUCUGUUUUUAUUCAUGGAAUAUUGCUUAUCAAAACAGGAAAACUUCCAACAAAAGGAUGUCUUUAAUUAACCGAGUGUUUACACUUGAAAACAGAAGACCAGCGGAGACUGUGAAACAGUUCAGUAUUUAUUUUAAAUGUUUUAGGUUGUUUACAAUAAGAAAUUGAUAUGAAAAAGAAAAAUAGGUAUACUGGCAGAACAGAUAAUUGUGUCGAAUGAGCACAAUAUUCAGAAAAAUAAGGGGAAAAUUACAUCGGAUAUCACAAAGUGGCUUAGGAGUCUUGUAUAAAUAUACAUCCCAAAUCGCACCCUAUUCCCUAUGUAGUGCACUACUUUUUUUAUUUUUUACCAGGGCCCCAUAGGACAGUGGUGAACUGUAGUGCACUAAACAGGGAAUAGGGUGUAAUUUGGUAAAUAAAAAUGAUAUGAUGAAGGCACUAUCAAGCCUCCUGAUGCGUUUCUCUUCUUAGCGUAGCUCACUCCCUAACGAGCGUGACCCCGUUACCAAAAACACGAAAACAUUCUUAGGCAUAAACCAUGUGACUCGACGGUCCCGAUUUGCACCUUUCCCCACGGGCCAAACCACGUCUGUACAUUUGUACGGUGUAUGCAACACGGUGGAAGAUUAUACCGUUGCUUAUAUAUACACACACACCAGACCUUUCUGAUCUGCAAACACAAAAAGGGUUAGGGCCAAGGGAGAAGGGGUGGAGCGCCAUUUGGGACUGGCUGGGGUAAAAAUAAUAAUAACAACAAAAGUCUUAUUUCUGGUCAACGUUGAUCACACACCCACUGUUGAGUCAUAGCGACAAAUUCCUGCUGCAUUCACACACUAAAACUUUGUGCUAAAGACAAGUUCGUUUACCCGGACAACUCCAACAAACUGAUGAAUGAAACACGUUUGGAAUGUUGUGGUGGUUAUUAAAAAAAAUGGGAGGAACUUCAGGUCGACAGUACAGAACGGAGAUUAUUUUAUUUAAAAAUGUUUUUUUAAAUAAAUUAAAAUCGGAUAAUUUUUUUCUUAGUGGGCUACAAAUUAACUAGAUGUUAAAAGACACACCGGAAAAAAAAAGGUACAAUGCUCACAGAAGUCUUACCAAACAUUUGGUCCAGUACAUCAGAUAUGUAGGGUGUAAAUACACUGUGUACUGUGGUUUCAUGUGUUUACUCUGUAAACUGCUAACAGUGGAUCUAAAAUAUACAAAUCGUGGCCAAAAGUUGUGAGAAUGACACAAUUAUUAAUUUCCACAAAGUUUGCUGCUUCAGUUGUCUUUAGAUAUUUUUGUCAGAUGUUACUAUGGAUGCUGAAGUAUAAUUACAAGCAUUUCAUAAGUGUCAAAGACGUCUAUUGACACUUACAUGAAGUUGAUGCAAAGAGUCAAUAUUUGCAGUGUUGACCCUUCUUUUUCAAGACCUCUGCAAUCCGCCCUGGCAUGCUGUCAAUUAACUUCUGGGCCACAUCCUGACUGAUGGCAGCCCAUUCUUGCAUAAUCAAUGCUUGGAGUUUGUCAGAAUUUGUGGGUUGGUUGUUUGUCCAUCAGUCUCUUGAGGAUUGACCACAAGUUCUCAAUGGGAUUAAGGUCUGGGGAGUUUCGUGGCCAUGGACCCAAAAUAUCAAUGUUUUAUUCCCCGAGCCACUUAGUUAUCACUAUGGCAAGGUGCUCCAUCAUGCUGGAAAAGGUAUUGUUCGUCACCAAACUGUUCCUGGAUGGUUGGGAGAAGUUUCUCUCGGAGGAUGUGUUGUUACCAUUCUAUAUUCAUGGCUGUGUUCUUAGGCAAAAUUGUGAGUGAGCCCAUUCCCUUGGCUGAGAAGCAACCCCACACAUGAAUGGUCUCAGGAUGCUUUACUGUUGGCAUGACACAGGACUGAUGGUAGCGCACACCUGGUCUUCUCCAGACAAGCUUUUUACCCGAUGCCCCAAACAAUCAGAAAGGGGAUUCAUCAGAGAAAAUGACUUUACCCCAGUCCUCAGCAGUCCAAUCCCUGUACCUUUUGCUGAAUAUCAGUCUGUUACUGAUGUUUUUCCUGGAGAGAAGUGGCUUCUUUGCUGCCUUUCUUGACACCAGGCCAUCAUCCAAAAGUCUUCGCCUCACUGUGCAUGCAGAUGCACUCACACCUGCUUGCUGCCAUUCCUGAGCAAGCUCUGUACUGGUGGUGCCCCGAUCCCACAGCUGAAUCAACUUUAGGAGACGGUCCUGGCGCUUGCUGGACUUUCUUGGGCGCCCUGAAGCCUUUUCACAACAAUUGAACCGCUCUCCUUGAAGUUCUUGAUGAUCCGAUAAAUGGUUGAUUUAGGUGCAAUCUUACUGGCAGCAAUAUCCUUGCCUGUGAAGCCUUUUUUGUACAAAGCAAUGAUGACGGCACGUGUUUCCUUGCAGGUAACCAUGGUUGACAGAGGAAGAACAAUGAUUCCAAACACCACCCUCCUUUUGAAGCUUCCAGUCUGUUAUUCGGACUCAAUCAGCAUGACGGAGUGAUCUCCAGCCUUGUCCUCCUCAACACUCACACCUGUGUUAACGAGAUAAUCACUGACAUGAUGUCAGCUGGUCCUUUUGUGGCAGGGCUGAAAUGCAGUGGAAAUGUUUUUGGGGGAUUCAGUUCAUUUGCAUGGCAAAGAGGGACUUUGCAAUUAAUUGCAAUUCAUCUGAUCACUCUUCAUAACAUUAUGGAGUAUAUGCAAAUUGCCAUCAUACAAACUGAGGCAGCAGAAUGAAAAUUCAUGUGUGUCAUUCUCAACUUUUGGCCACGACUGUACACACACAAUGUAGAUGAACAGCCCUUAACACACCGAGCUGAAGCCACCCUUUCCUCCUCUACAGUACCUCCCUUUCACAGUCGCCCAGCUUAGGCACGAGCCAGCAAACUGUCCAUCUGACACGAGCCAGCAAACUGUCCAUCUGACACGAGCCAGCAAACUGUCCUUCUGACACGAGCCAGCAAACUGUCCUUCUGACACUUUGAUCUGACGUUUUGUACAACAGAUCAAACUGUUUCUGACAUACUCCUGUUUUCUUUUCAAUUGACCUUCUCAUAUGUUGUUUGAUUUUUUUAGUUUUUUUUACGAAACGUAAAAUAGACAAUCUUUUGCUGGACGUCGUCCGAUGUGGUUGUGGUUGGGCAGCCAUUUUGAGUUGGAGCCUGAAGACCACAAGGCAGGUCCCCAGUNNNNNNNNNNCUGGUCAACUAGCUGGGUGAGUCUCCCCUGGUCAAGAGCCUCAUAUUGCGAUCCAAAUAUAAGGAUCUGACACACUCCACUGAAGUCCAGAGGGUUACGGCUACAUAGCUAGUGGAUACCAGUCAGGUCAACUGUCACUAGCUGAAUGAGGUCACUGUUUAGGAGCUCAUUAACUCAAUAGGAUCACGUAUUCCGUUAAGAUCAAUGGAAGGUCUUGUCCAAAUCACAGUAAACACUGUAAUAGCAAUCAUGUUAGAUUUCACGGAGAGGUAGCCUCGUUUUGUACCACCGGUUCAGUAAAGCUGUUUGUGAGAGGUGACAUGCUGCUAAAACUUCCUUUUUACUGCUGCUGCUAAAACUUCCUUCUUCCUUUUUGCAAUAAAUAGCGAAAUCAUGGGAACAACCUAUUUAUGCCGUAAACCCUGGAUUAAAAUGGAGCUGUGUCAUUAUGCAAUGCCCUGAGAGUGCAGCUGCACAAAUUGUCCAAGGCCAAGACGAUAACCUAUUUAUAGAGAUCUCCAUUAGGGCCCAGAACCAAUUGAGCCGUAAUGGCUCAAUCUGUAUUCUUAAUGGUGAUACCCUAUUCGUUUGUUCCAUUUGGCUCUGCUCUGUACAGGUGCAUUAAUGAGGUCUGCUGGUUAACAGACCAGUGAACAAGUCCCAGGGAAAGCAGACCGACUU
rnacentral:lncRNA from 13 species